rnacentral:rRNA from 1 species
AACGAACGCUGGCGGCAGGCUUAACACAUGCAAGUCGAGCACCCCGCAAGGGGAGCGGCAGACGGGUGAGUAACGCGUGGGAAUCUACCCAUCUCUACGGAAUAACGCAUGGAAACGUGUGCUAAUACCGUAUACGUCCUUCGGGAGAAAGAUUUAUCGGAAAUGGAUGAGCCCGCGUUGGAUUAGCUAGUUGGUGGGGUAAAGGCCUACCAAGGCGACGAUCCAUAGCUGGUCUGAGAGGAUGAUCAGCCACGCUGGGACUGAGACACGGCCCAGACUCCUACGGGAGGCAGCAGUGGGGAAUAUUGGACAAUGGGCGCAAGCCUGAUCCAGCCAUGCCGCGUGAGUGAUGAAGGCCCUAGGGUUGUAAAGCUCUUUCACCGGUGAAGAUAAUGACGGUAACCGGAGAAGAAGCCCCGGCUAACUUCGUGCCAGCCGCCGCGGUAAUAC